rnacentral:rRNA from 1 species
GUCGAACGCACAGCGAAAGGUGCUUGCACCUUUCAAGUGAGUGGCGAACGCCUGUGUAACACGUGGACAACCUGCCUCAAGGCUGGGGAUAACAUUUGGAAACAGAUGCUAAUACCGAAUAAAACUUAGUGUCGCAUGACACAAAGUUAAAAGGCGCUUCGGCGUCACCUAGAGAUGGAUCCGCGGUGCAUUAGUUAGUUGGUGGGGUAAAGGCCUACCAAGACAAUGAUGCAUAGCCGAGUUGAGAGACUGAUCGGCCACAUUGGGACUGAGACACGGCCCAAACUCCUACGGGAGGCUGCAGUAGGGAAUCUUCCACAAUGGGCGAAAGCCUGAUGGAGCAACGCCGCGUGUGUGAUGAAGGCUUUCGGGUCGUAAAGCACUGUUGUAUGGGAAGAACAGCUAGAAUAGGAAAUGAUUUUAGUUUGACGGUACCAUACCAGAAAGGGACGGCUAAAUACGUGCCAGCAGCCGCGGUAAUACGUAUGUCCCGAGCGUUAUCCGGAUUUAUUGGGCGUAAAGCGAGCGCAGACGGUUUAUUAAGUCUGAUGUGAAAGCCCGGAGCUCAACUCCGGAAUGGCAUUGGAAACUGGUUAACUUGAGUGCAGUAGAGGUAAGUGGAACUCCAUGUGUAGCGGUGGAAUGCGUAGAUAUAUGGAAGAACACCAGUGGCGAAGGCGGCUUACUGGACUGCAACUGACGUUGAGGCUCGAAAGUGUGGGUAGCAAACAGGAUUAGAUACCCUGGUAGUCCACACCGUAGACGAUGAACACUAGGUGUUAGGAGGUUUCCGCCUCUUAGUGCCGAAGCUAACGCAUUAAGUGUUCCGCCUGGG